rnacentral:rRNA from 1 species
AUUGAACGCUGGCGGCAGGCCUAACACAUGCAAGUCGAGCGAGCGGCGGACGGGUGAGUAAUGUCUGGGAAACUGCCCGAUGGAGGGGGAUAACUACUGGAAACGGUAGCUAAUACCGCAUACUAUCAGAUGAGCCCAUAUGGGAUUAGCUAGUAGGUGGGGUAACGGCUCACCUAGGCGACGAUCCCUAGCUGGUCUGAGAGGAUGACCAGCCACACUGGAACUGAGACACGGUCCAGACUCCUACGGGAGGCAGCAGUGGGGAAUAUGGCACAAUGGGCGCAAGCCUGAUGCAGCCAUGCCGCGUGUGUGAAGAAGGCCAUCGGGUUGUAAAGGACUUUCAGCGGGGAGGCGUUACCCGCAGAAGAAGCACCGGCUAACUCCGUGCCAGCAGCCGCGGUAAUAC